rnacentral:lncRNA from 1 species
GGAAACUUGGAAAAGAAAAAAAAAAGCUUUAACAAACAAAAACACACAUACCUGAGAUGCACACGGCAACUUACUAGCUCAUGGCAAACAGGCCUGCGUGAAGGCAAUUUUGAAGGCAUGACUAUGACCUGCUCUGGCCACAAGAGCCAAGAGUUGCCAGGUGUGGUGACUCAAACACUUUGAGAGGCCAAUCCCAACACUUUGAGAGGCCAAGGCAGGAGGAUUCCUUGAGGCCAGGAGCUUGAAACCAGCCUGGGCAACACAGUGAGACCCCAUCUCUACAAAAAAUAAAAAAACAGGCCAGGCACAGUGGCACUUAGGGAGGCCAAGGUGGGUGGAUCACCUGAGGUCAGGAGUUCGAGACCAGCCUGACCAACAUGAAGAAACCCCGUCUCUACAAAAAAUACAAAGUUUGCCAGUGUGGUGGCACAUGCCUGUUAUCCCAGCUACUCAGGAGGCUGAGGCAGGAGAAUCGCUUGAACCCGAAAGGCGGAGGUUGCAGUGAAUGGAGAUCACGCCAUUGCACUCCAGCCUGCGCAACAAGAGUGAAACUCCAUCUCAAAUAAAUAAAUAAAAUAAAGUUUAAAAAAGUCAAAAUUAUCCAGGCGUGCUGGUAUGUUCUUGUAGUCCCAGCUACUCAGGAAGCUGAGGUGGGGGAUCACUUGAAUCUGGGAGGUCGAGGCUGCAGUGAGCCAAGAUU